UGCAGUCGAGCGGUAGAGAGAAGCUUGCUUCUCUUGAGAGCGGCGGACGGGUGAGUAAUGCCUAGGAAUCUGCCUGGUAGUGGGGGAUAACGUUCGGAAACGGACGCUAAUACCGCAUACGUCCUACGGGAGAAAGCAGGGGACCUUCGGGCCUUGCGCUAUCAGAUGAGCCUAGGUCGGAUUAGCUAGUUGGUGAGGUAAUGGCUCACCAAGGCGACGAUCCGUAACUGGUCUGAGAGGAUGAUCAGUCACACUGGAACUGAGACACGGUCCAGACUCCUACGGGAGGCAGCAGUGGGGAAUAUUGGACAAUGGGCGAAAGCCUGAUCCAGCCAUGCCGCGUGUGUGAAGAAGGUCUUCGGAUUGUAAAGCACUUUAAGUUGGGAGGAAGGGCAGUUACCUAAUACGUGAUUGUUUUGACGUUACCGACAGAAUAAGCACCGGCUAACUCUGUGCCAGCAGCCGCGGUAAUACAGAGGGUGCAAGCGUUAAUCGGAAUUACUGGGCGUAAAGCGCGCGUAGGUGGUUUGUUAAGUUGGAUGUGAAAUCCCCGGGCUCAACCUGGGAACUGCAUUCAAAACUGACUGACUAGAGUAUGGUAGAGGGUGGUGGAAUUUCCUGUGUAGCGGUGAAAUGCGUAGAUAUAGGAAGGAACACCAGUGGCGAAGGCGACCACCUGGACUAAUACUGACACUGAGGUGCGAAAGCGU
rnacentral:rRNA from 1 species